UGCAAUGAUGCACCGGAGGGGAAUCGGGGUUCUUGUGCAGAGUUGGAGAGGCUUAAUUAAUUUACAUUACAUGCACUUCACGUAACGUUCCUAAGCAAUGUCUUUCGUGAGUGUUUUUUUUCCCCUUCCUCGAACUGUGACCUAAAAAUAGCAACAUAGUUUUGAUCGUGCGCCAGAAAUAGACAGACGGGUAUCGCUUGUAUAAAAAGGGAGGCGAUCCUGGGCAAACUUGGACGUGCCACUUUUAGGACAAGGAUGUGCCCUGCAUCAUGCAAGGGGAACCCUUCUCUGAUGAGCGCUCAAGGACGUCUUUCCCUCCGUUUUCUUGUGUGUCUGUGUGUUUUUGUUAAAGAGGAGUCGUUUACUAGAGGAGCAGCUGCGGAGGAGGAAGAGGAGAAGAGGAGAGGAAGGAGUGAAGUGAACGAGCUGUUGCUGCAGCAGAGACCAGGCGCAUCGCGUGGGGAAACCCGGGAGCUGUCCAGCAGCAAUGGAGGGAACAAUCACAAAAAGGACGUCCGUGACUUCUGUCCCCGGGUCGAACCUUCUUCCUCUGCUGCUGCUGCUGCUGCUGUUGGAGCCUCCAACUGUGCGCCGGAGGUAAAAGUUGGGACCCACACUUUUGGAUGUUUUCACCGAGGAGUGCACAGAUAGAAAGAGGGACACCGAUCGAUCUUCCCGACCUUCCUCUUCCUCCUCUUUGUCCUCUCCUGCUUCCUCAUCCCGAGAAAGGACCAGGUUUUUUGGACUCCAUGAAGACUACUGGUCCCGUUUAUUCCAGGAAAAAAGAGGACCAAAAUGAUGAUGGUGAGAGGAAAUAACCCAGAAUACUGCAAAACAGCAACUCAAAAUCUAGGGAAUGUCUAGGGAAGAUCAAGGGAAGGUAAAUGAGAAGAUCAAUAGAUGAGGUGGAUGAUGAUGUGACAGAAGACUGCUGCACAUGGAGGACACUCACAUUCAGGCGAUGACGAGAGAACUCAAAAAUAUACAUCAAGCCUAUACACUGCAGGGCUGUGAGGGGUCCACGUGAAGGUGGACUCACCAAACAUCCGAUAGGUCUGUGUGUGUGUGUGUGUGUGUGUGUUACAUUGAAACAACUGCCUGUAAUAUGACAAAAGUUUGUUGUUGUUGUUUUUUUUUUUUUUUUUUCAUUAAAAUGAAUGUAAAUUUUAGGUGCAAACAUUUGAGAUUACAAAAAUAUUUAUUGUUUAUAAAGUUUGUUUUGUGAAAAAGUACAUCAUGUAAAUUAAUUUUACCCUGUACAUUGUAAACUCUAAACGAGUGACUCACACAUUUAAUUUAAUUUAAUUUAAUUUAAUUUAAUUCUGUUUAAAAUUGUUGCACAACUUGCUGCUGCUGCUUCCUCUCGGUGCCACUUCGAUCCCUCCACUUGUGUCAGAGAAUACCAGCAGCUGCAUGAAGACUGUCUCCAUGUGGACUUAGUUUUAUACUCUGUGCUCUCUGCUGAGUACAUGACAGUCUUUGCUUUGUGUCACACAGCCUCGGUUUGUCAGAAAUCCAUGUUAACUUGGUGUGUGUGUGAGAGAGAGAAAGAAAGAGAGGGAGCCAGAGAGGGGGAGCAUGGCGGAGUCUUCAGGAAUGCUGCUGCUGCUGCUGCUGCAAACAGCGUCUGUGGGUCGGAGAGGGGAACAGAGCACACACACACACACACACUUGCAGCUGGAGUGUAAACAGUGGAUUUUGCUGCAACACUCUUUAUGUUUAUUUUUGACACAUUUUUAAAAACAAUCAGUGAAAUAAAACCCUGGAAAUCCA